rnacentral:rRNA from 1 species
AGCAGCCGCGGUAAUUCCAGCUCCAAUAGCGUAUAUUAAAGUUGUUGCAGUUAAAAAGCUCGUAGUUGAACUUCGGGAUCAAUUAGUUGGUCAUGCCUUGGUAUGUACUGAUUUUAUUGGUUCUCACCUUCUAGAGAACUAUAAUGUCAUUUAUUUGAUGUUAUAGGGAAUUAGGACUGUUACCUUGAAAAAAUUAGAGUGUUUAAAGCAGGCUCACGCUUGAAUACAUUAGCAUGGAAUAAUGAAAUAGGACAUCGCAUUCUAUUUUGUUGGUUUCUAGGAUCGAUGUAAUGAUUAAUAGGGAUAGUUGGGGGCAUUAGUAUUCAAUUGUCAGAGGUGAAAUUCUUGGAUUUAUUGAAGACUAACUACUGCGAAAGCAUUUGCCAAGGAUGUUUUCAUUAAUCAAGAACGAAAGUUAGGGGAUCGAAGACGAUCAGAUACCGUCGUAGUCUUAACCAUAAACUAUGCCGACUAGGGAUCGGAUGAUGUUGAUUUUUAAUGACU